GCGACCCCAGAACGGGUGAGACCACCCACCGAGUUUAAGCAUAUCAAUAAGCGGAGGAGAAGAAACUUACGAGGAUUCCCCUAGUAACGGCAAGUGAACUGGGACAUGCCCAACAUGGGAAUCGGGCUGCCCUGCAGUGGCUCUAAUUACAGUCUGUAGAAUCUUCAUCUGCGACAGAUUGGACCCAAAUUCCCUGGAAAGGGGCGCCUAGGAGGGUGAGAGCCUCGUUUGGCCCGAACCCUGUCGCAACACGAGGAGCUCUCGGCGA
rnacentral:rRNA from 1 species